rnacentral:tRNA from 1 species
GCCCUUUUGGAUCAAUCGGACCGCGCACUGGACUCACAAUCCAGAGGUUGCUGGUUUGAAUCCCGCGGCGGGCG